AGGACGUUCUUUAUAGCUGUACCCUUCACAGUCCGCCCUUUCCCCGUGAUGAGAAUAUGUGUGCGCGCCUGCUUACAGAAGCCCGCUAACCCGCCACUGUUACCUGCCAAAAUAUUGCAGCACUGAGGAAACAGGUCAGAUAGUGGAUUUCGUGUGCUGUUUCUGCCAACUUCUUUCUUCAUAUCCGUCGUGUGCCAUUGAUUUCAUUUGAAAUCAUUGUUCCUCCCGCAGUUACGGAUACCUGCUACUGUGAUAACGGUCGUGUCAGACACCAGCUCAAAGUACAGCUCCGUACGUUAUUCGGGCUGUGGCCCGCGUCAAUGGCUAGAUCCAGAGAGCAAGUGGGCCAGUAUCUGAGUGCGUUCGAAACCUCCUCCAAGGAAGAGAAGACGUCCGGGCACUGAAGCUGCAAGUCCGGCAUCAUUGAAGUGCCAGGAAGAAUAGUGCGUGCAAAAAUCGAAACGACUCUUGCGGUAACAACAACAAGUCCGGUGCACUGCUACUACGGUGACGGCGAUAUCGCUGCACGUUGGCAGCGUCGACGGCAGAAAGAAGCAAUCAUGCCGAACCUGCUAGACUUGCCAGACGAACUCGUCGGCUUGAUACUUCAACACUGUUUGUCGAGGGACGUUCUCGCAGUAGCUAAUACUUGCUCUCGGUUGUGCAAAGUGGCCAACGAUGUUUUCCUUUGGCAGCAUUUGUGUGAACGCGAAUUAGCGGCUUCCGGCCUACAGCUCGAAAUGCCUUUGACAAAGCCAGCGCUUGUGAGGCCAGAGGCAGGAUCAUCAUCGGCAGCGAGUGGCCUCGAUUCAUACAGAUGUGAUGGCUGCCUCUCUGACCUAACCUUUGGAAGCACGAAGUACAGGUACCCACCACCGAUGCAGUUUCCUCCUUCAAAUUGUUCCCCAGACAGUCAGCAGCAUGACUACCAAUCGAGAGAAGGCUGUUCUGGGGGUCAUUCGUUGUCCGCUCACCAGCGCGAGCAGCAGAUGACAGUGGAGCAUUUGAAGAAGCGUCUGCAGCGCCUCCAUCGGGUUUUACCAAAGGUCGCGCCUUGCAAGACAUGCAAACAGCUUACCUGUCUACAGGAACCGUUCUGUCACGAGAACCGGGUUGUAUUGGACGUUGGAUCGAAAACGACAUGGUGUCUGGGUCCUACUACGAUGUGGCAGAAACAUCCUUCUGUAAUGCUUGCCGAUUCUCGUGGCCACUGUCUGCCAUGUGAAUUCGCUGAACGCCUGAAACCGCAAUCAAUGCUCUUCACACGUUUUCACGGUGGAUCUAUUGCCCGACCGCACGCACAUGCACACUCGCAUGCCCAUCAUGCACACGGACAUUAUCAGGCUCUACUGAUGCUGCCACACCAUUAUGCUGCGGCGACAAGCGUCCGAGCGCCACAUGAGAACCUAGCAUCAUCGUUUGCCAACUUGCGUAUUGAGAGCAGAAGCGUGUUUGAUGAUAUGUCUAAUAUUAUCAAAAACAUCAACCCUGACAGCUAUCUGCGACAUCCCUUGAAAUGUCUGCAAGGGGAAAGGGACGAAGGCGAUGGCGCCUUUGGAGGAGGCUGUACGGUCUUUGAAGAUUUCGUGUCACAUAUUCUUACGAAAUUCCAAUUGACCAAUGCCCUUCGGCAGGCCAAUUCAAGCCUUGUCUUUUGUGAGCCACACUUUAUGACAACAAGACAGCGAAGAAAGUUAGCAAAAUUUUUCUUCGAAACGACCGGUACUGGCAGGUUGUGUUUCUUAAACAAGGCGUACAGUACGGCAAAUCUAACCCAAAUUCAGACGUGCAUAGUCGUGGACUCGGGAUGCCAUAACACGGUAGUAACCGUUAUCAUCAAUGGCCAAGUACAACCGGAACGGACCCAGCAUUGCCCUGUUGGUGGCCAGCUACUUUCCGAACACCUGCUCGAUUGCUUGCGCAUGCGUCAAUGGGACUGUCCUGUAUCGUGCGAGGGUCUAGACUACCAUCACGUGAAGCUCUCGUGCCACCUCUCGCCCAACAUCGACAUGGAGCACACGGCCGUAUACGAUGAAGUGUUUAAGCAGUGCUUUGUUCAUUGCCAACGAGGCGGUAAUCUCACGCAGGAGUGGGUUGAGUUCGGCUCUGAGCUGUAUACGGCGCCGGAGUUGAUGUAUACGAGAAUGCAACUACCGGAUAUGAUUCUACGAGCUGUUCAAGGCUUGACGCGUUGCCAGAUUCAGGAGUUAGUAACGCAUAUUCUCCUCACCGGCGCCAACACCGAACUGGCUGGGUUCCGGCGAAGACUCGUGUCUGACCUUCGAAGACGGAUGCCAGACUUCGCCCAUCUGAACAUGCAUACGUACAGUGGUUCACGCAGUUGGGAAUGCUGUAUGGGAGGGACAUGCCUACUAUUAGCUAACACGUAUGAUCCUAUGACGAUGUUUCCCGUUAGCUCGCAUGUGAGUCACACCUAUCAAUGGGUCACCCGAGAAGCGUAUAUUCUGCAUGGUGAGGCUGCUGUGAAAGACGACUAGUAACCUCGUCGGGGCCCGGGAAUAUACAAAAUAUUUAUAGUUAGGCGUUUAGAUAUUUCAAUUGUUAAUUGUUGCUAUUAUAUUCGUCUAAAUCGAGAUCUGUUUUUGUGUUGUCUGACAAAUCUAACCUCCAUUGAGCAAAAGAGAACGCAAAUGAAUUGUGAACGGUGAAACUUACACGCAUAUGAGUGAGCCGUGGAUGCACCUUAAAAAGAAAAUACAUAAUAAAAAUAAUAACUGCUGUAUUAUGUUCAGAUCUAUGCUACCCGUGUUAGUCGGAUGUGAGAGCGAUUAGAAAUUUUCCACAAAUGUACCGCGGGGUUGUAGACGUCUUAGUUUGAUACCAGAUAUCUACAUCCGAUAGUAAGUGAGCAACAAUACAACGGACCCUCGAAUCAUGCGCGACGGUUAAAUAGACUAGAAAUUAUAUGAGCCUCAUCGCUACGCUGCAUCUGUAAUUGGUGAUUGUUCUGGCGGUAUAUAUACCGUAUACGGGCGAAACAAAAUACAGGUUCCUUCACUAGAGCCGUCAACGUAAUGCGCAAAUUGUGUGAAGUCAGCUAAACUGGCGUUGUACCUAUGCCGGAAUAAGAUGCCCCAACAAAUUAACAUUUUUUUCCAAUAGAAACCCCUUUGUGAUAUAUGAGAAGCCGUAACUGUGUCAUUAAAGUUGAUCCUCUAAGUAUUUACCAACCCAGACUUCGGGGUCUAAGAGUUAAUUGCGGAUGUGACAAAUAAGAACAAUAAUAAGAGAAUACAUGCCUUUCUAUAUUAAGUUUUUGUAACAAAAUCCCACGAAAAAUGUAUUUGGAAGGUUCCUCUUGUGCAGGUUGAACAGAAGAGUUUGGGGCGGAAAAAUACACCCAUAAUUAGUACUUCCGAGUGCUAUUUUAGCCGUUAAUUGAGAACACUUUUGAAUUUUAAAAUUGGUGGUUUUAAUUUCGUUUUAUUACUACCUUGUCUGAAAUUUUGCAUGACAAAAAAAUCUUCAUUAAAAUUCCGUACCUGGGUGAAAUACUAAUUAAUAGAAAAAUGAAUGCGACCGACUUUGCUAAUGAAUUUUAAUAGAAAUUGUGGAAAAUAAAAUUAUUAUGCCGGCCUAUUGAACUCCUAUUGUCAUUUUUUGUUUCAAACAGACCAGCAGACGUGCUCAAAACAAAGGCGAUUUUCAACCUGAAAAUUAACGUGUUUGGGUGGUCACAUCAAUGUUUAGUAACGUCGUUUGGCGUGGAGGCGCACGUAUCGCGUAUCGGGACGAAACUCAUCCAGUUGCAGAAGGUGGGUAAAGUGCAUUUUCGAGAUUUUCUAGACCAUGCGUUUUGUCCGAAGCAGCCCGGAAUACUUGUCUUGUUUACGGUAACGGUGCUAUCGCAAAGAAGACUGCUUAAGAAUAAUUUGCCAAGUUCGAGGUAUCCGGGACUUAGAGGAUGCCCCCCGUCGUGACCCACCGUCCACGUCUGAUGACGAUAAUCUGGAGGCACUUUCGAAGAAAGACGGUCGACAGACAACUCCGGAAUUGUCCUAAAGGAUGGGCUGAAGCCAUAUGGCCUUCUCCAGUCCAUUGCGUUUACUUGAAGCUUGGGUGUCUCUGAACCUUUUGAGCCUGGAGAAGGGUUACAACAAUGCUGCGUCUCCGCAUCUGGCACGGUGUCCAGAAUUACGCGGCCACAAUGAUUAGUUUUUGCUCGGAAUUGUCGCCAGUAAGUGGUGUUUGUACGUCAACAUGAACCAGAGACCGCUCAGAGAAUGGGUGGCUCCAGAAGAGACGCCAAAGACCGAAGCCGACAGACAGAAAAGGGCCAUGCUUUGCGAUCGGUAGGACUGCUAGAGUCUAAAACUGAGAGUACUAUUGACGGGGCCUACUCGAAGACGCUAAGUCGGGCCAUUCUACUCUAAGCACCACCCAAGGCCGCACACGGCAGAGACUGCAAAAGCUGCUCGUGGACUUCGUAUGUAUGAAAGGUUUGAGUACAGCGCCUUUCGUGACCUCUGAACCUUGCACUACGUAUUUGGAAAGCGUUUUGAGACAAAAUCGGCUACCUUUCGACAAGCAUGACAUACAUCAUCGUGCCAUAGGUCAAGAACAAUAUUAACUUCUGGUCGCUAAAUGUGAUGUUGUCAGUUUAGUGAGAAGAGUGUACGCGGGACGCUUCUCCAGUCUAAUGAAUAAAGAAGAAGAGACGUUUAAAGGCAUGUGCAAGUGUUAUUUCACACGCUUAUACGAAUAACCGGCAAGAAAAAAAACUUAGGUGCGUGCACACACACACACACAGACACACAUACACACAGACACACACACAUACACACACACACAUUCGCAAUACAAAACACAAACGAAACUGUUCAAUUGAACGAUAGUAAUUAAAUUACUUCUAAACCUACUAACAAUUCGAAUUUCUCUUCAAGUGAUUCACAAAUGGAGUAAGGUGAAAUUGUCAUAAUAGUAUUACACACAGAACUCAAUUAAAUUAAACGCAAGUGGGAACAGCCAGCCUAUGCGUCAGUUCCAUAUGAUAAGCACUUAUUAUAAGCAGUCACAUUACCAUAAAGGUAUCUAAGUGGUCGGCGAGCAAAUAGGUCUAUACAAACCGAUUUGUAGAUAAU